rnacentral:rRNA from 1 species
GGAGGUAGUGACAAUAAAUCACAAUGCGGGACUAUUCGUCUUGCAAUUGGAUUGAGAACAAUGUACAACUCUUAUCGAUAAGCCAUUGGAGGGCAAGUCUGGUGCCAGCAGCCGCGGUAAUUCCAGCUCCAAUAGCGUAUAUUAACGUUGUUGCAGUUAAAAAGCUCGUAGUUGAAGUGUGGGUGGUGCCAUCUGUGAAGCUUCGGCUUCUAAGAUGAUCACUACCCCCUUCCAGUAUCCAGUAGUGGGUAUUCAGUUACUUACUAUUGUGUGUUGGUCGUUUACUGUGAGAAAAUUAGAGUGUUCAAAGCAGGCGUUUGCUUGAAUAGAUUAGCAUGGAAUAAUAAUUGAAGGCUUUCGUGUUCGAUUUGAUUGGUUUGUUCAUGGAAGCAAGGUUAAAAGGAACAGUUGGGGGUAUUCAUAUUCACUAGUUAGAGGUGAAAUUCUCGGAUUUAUGGAAGAUGAACAAGUGCGAAAGCA